GGCCCUACGGGGGGCAGCAGUGGGGAAUAUUGCACAAUGGGGGAAACCCUGAUGCAGCGACGCCGCGUGAAGGAAGAAGUAUUUCGGUAUGUAAACUUCUAUCAGCAGGGAAGAAGAUGACGGUACCUGACUAAGAAGCCCCGGCUAACUACGUGCCAGCAGCCGCGGUAAUACGUAGGGGGCAAGCGUUAUCCGGAUUUACUGGGUGUAAAGGGAGCGUAGGCGGCGAUGCAAGUCAGAAGUGAAAGCCCGGGGCUCAACUCCGGGACUGCUUUUGAAACUGUAUGGCUAGAUUGCAGGAGAGG
rnacentral:rRNA from 1 species